UACAGAGGUCCCAAGCGUUACUGAGAAUCACUGGGUUUAAAGGGUGCGUAGGUGGUCCGUUAAGUCAGCUGUGAAAUCCCCGGGCUCAACCCGGGAACUGCUUCUGAUACUGGCGGACUUGAGGCCAGUAGGGGUCACUAGAACUGACGGUGGAGCGGUGAAAUGCGUAGAUAUCGUCUGGAACGCCGAAGGUGAAAACAGCUCGCUGGGGCUGCGCUGACGCUGAGACACGAAAGCCAGGGGAGCGAACGGG
rnacentral:rRNA from 1 species